rnacentral:rRNA from 1 species
UUCCAGACUCCUACGGGAGGCAGCAGUGAGGAAUAUUGGUCAAUGGGCGCGAGCCUGAACCAGCCAAGUAGCGUGAAGGAUGACUGCCCUACGGGUUGUAAACUUCUUUUAUAAAGGAAUAAAGUGAGGCACGUGUGCCUUUUUGUAUGUACUUUAUGAAUAAGGAUCGGCUAACUCCGUGCCAGCAGCCGCGGUAAUACGGAGGAUCCGAGCGUUAUCCGGAUUUAUUGGGUUUAAAGGGAGCGUAGAUGGGUUGUUAAGUCAGUGGUGAAAGUUUGCGGCUCAACCGUAAAAUUGCAAUUGAUACUGGCAGUCUUGAGUACAGUUGAGGUAGGCGGAAUUCGUGGUGUAGCGGUGAAAUGCUUAGAUAUCACGAAGAACUCCGAUUGCGAAGGCAGCUUACUAAACUGCCACUGACAUUGAUGCUCGAAAGUGUGGGUAUCAAACAGGAUUAGAUACCCGUGUACA